CUUAAGGGGUUAAUCCCUACCUUUAAUGCACAUAAAUUUAAUUAUUUAAAGGGAUACUAUGGGCACCAAAACAACCUCAGCGUCAUGGAGUGCUUGAGGUGUAUAAAGCACUCAAUUCUCUGCUAUUUAGGAGUUAAAUCACUUUGCUUAUUUAGCCCUAUUCACACUUCCUUGCAUGUGACUUACACAGCCUUUCUAAACACUUCCUGUAAAGAUAGAUUCUAAUGUUUAAACUUCCUUUAUUGCACAGUCUGUUUAAUAAAAAAUUUCUUACCUCAUGCUCUGUUAAUAGCCUUCUAAACCCUGCAGGAGUGUGUGAUUAAAGUUCAAUUUGCAGAGCAGUAGAUUAAAAACCUCUAAAGCAAGUUAAGAUUGGAUUUUUUCAUGAGUCACAUCCAGGGGAGGUAGCUAGGACUACAGAAACAAAACAAAUUUAACUCCUCAAUGAGUAUUGAGCAGUGAGACUGCAGGGGCAUGAUUUAUACACCAAAAUGGCUUCAGUAAACUAAAGUUGUUUUGAUCCCUGCAGUAUCCCUUUAACAUACAUGCCUACUUUUUUUAUCUUUGCUAAGUGUGGUCGAUUGUAAGUUGUAUCAAUUAAUGUAAGUUAUUUUUCCCCUUAAAUUUACUACAAAUGUAUCACCUCUAUAGAUGGAAUGAUGAAUCCAUGCUUUCUUUAAGCCUUCUUCUUAGACCUAGCGUGUUACAUUGUUACAAAAUAGUGUCGAAAGUGGCUUACGUCUCUAUAAAGAGUGUUUCUGACUGACAUAGAACUCUACUUGUUAAGCUGAACACAAGAGAU